rnacentral:rRNA from 1 species
AACGAACGCUGGCGGCAGGCUUAACACAUGCAAGUCGAACGCAUCCUCCGGGGUGAGUGGCAGACGGGUGAGUAACGCGUGGGAACGUGCCAUUCAGUUCGGGAUAACCCAGGAAAAGUUGGCCUAAUACGGGAUACGAGCGAGAGCAGAAAGGUUUAUCGCUGAGAGGAACGGCCCGGGUCGGAUUAGAUAGUGGGUGGGGUAAUGGCCCACCAGGGCGAUGCUCAGUAGCGGGUCUGAGAGGAGGAGCAGCAACAUUGGGACGGAGACACGGCCCAAAGUCCUCCGGGGGGCAGCAGUGGGGAAUAUUGGACAGUGGGCGAAAGCCUGAUCCAGCCAUGCCGCGUGAGUGAUGAAGGCCUUAGGGUUGUAAAGCUCUUGCGUCCGGGACGAUAAUGACGGUACCGGAAGAAGAAGCCCCGGCUAACUUCGUGCCAGCAGCCGCCGUAA